rnacentral:rRNA from 1 species
UACAGAGGUCUCAAGCGUUGUUCGGAUUCAUUGGGCGUAAAGGGCGCGUAGGCGGCGAGGUAAGUCGGGUGUGAAAUCUCAGAGCUCAACUCUGAAACUGCACUCGAUACUGCUUUGCUAGAGGACUGGAGAGGAGAUUGGAAUUCACGGUGUAGCAGUGAAAUGCGUAGAGAUCGUGAGGAAGACCAGUGGCGAAGGCGGAUCUCUGGACAGUACCUGACGCUGAGGCGCGAAGGCCAGGGGAGCAAACGGG